UACGGGAGGCAGCAGUGGGGAAUAUUGCACAAUGGGCGCAAGCCUGAUGCAGCCAUGCCGCGUGUAUGAAGAAGGCCUUCGGGUUGUAAAGUACUUUCAGUCGUGAGGAAGGUGUUAAGGUUAAUAACCUUAGCAAUUGACGUUAGCGACAGAAGAAGCACCGGCUAACUCCGUGCCAGCAGCCGCGGUAAUACGGAGGGUGCGAGCGUUAAUCGGAAUUACUGGGCGUAAAGGGCACGCAGGCGGUUAAUUAAGUUGGAUGUGAAAUCCCCGGGCUUAACCUGGGAAUGGCAUUCAAGACUGGUUAGCUAGAGUCUUGUAGAGGGGGUAGAAUUCCAUGUGUAGCGGUGAAAUGCGUAGAGAUGUGGAGGAAUACCGGUGGCGAAGGCGGCCCCUGGACAAAGACUGACGCUCAUGUGCGAAAGCGUGGGGA
rnacentral:rRNA from 1 species